GUGAUGUAACGGUUCGUACCUACCAAUAAGAACUGUCCAUCGGGUCCGGGAGGAGUACAACGCACUAAACUUGACCGAGGAAUGGGACUCCGACAGGCAAAAAAAAACCUCUUACUUAUCACUUUCUUUACAAAUCAAAAGGUCUCGGGGUCCCUGGAUAAAAAGGUUCUCGCUUGGAGAGGAGAAAAGAGAAGAGGAGAGCAGGAGAGAGACGGCAGCGAGCGCUGGGAAUGAGUAGGCGUCUCACACUCUUACCAGGCCCAACAGGAUGCACAACCUUACGACUUGAUGUAUUCAAGUGUAAUCAGAGACACGCUCACUAGAGAACCAGGGCCCUGCAGGUGACAAUGAUGAUGAUGAUGAUGAUGGUGGCUCUGUAAGGGAAAUAGAAAAACAUUCAUCUGGAUGUUAUGUGUUGUACUGAAGAAAAGUCAGCGAGAGGAAGAGAUAUUACUUAAAGAGGAAAACUGUACUUGGAAAUUAGGAUGAUUAGGUUACUAUCUAUGUCAAUUGAGUCCCACGGUGGAGGUGUCAUGAUACCCAUAAAACCUAGCGGUCAAACAGGGAAAUAAAUGGUUCCAAUCAUUUUUCCACUAUUUAUUUUCCCAUAAGGAUUUUAAAAAACAACACUUAAAAUAGGUUUACCAUGGUAUGACAUUUUGAUAACCAUGUAAAUCUCUCACGGACAUGGUGACUUUUAUUAAUAUAUUAGUCUCUAUUUACUCUCAGAUUCGAAAAUGCUAAUUAGCAUCAAAGUAGACAUCAUGCAAGACUACAAAUCCCUGCAAGCUCCCACACGUCAACUCUAGCUGACACCUUUGUUAGCAAGCAUUGUCUCCAUAAAGAAAUUGCACAAGACAGUUCACAGAAUUGCCAAUUUAAAGAAAUGUAGACAAUUUAUGAAAUACUACAUUUAGCUAACAUUAGAUAGUUAAUCUAAAGAUUGUUACCUUUGCCUCAAUUCGGCAGUCUCUUCCAGAUCAUCAUGACUUUGUAGUUCUUUAUGAUAGCCACAUUAGUUGCUAUUUAGCAUUUCAUUUUUGGGGGGUAAAUACAAGCAAAUAUAUUGCUAAAAGUCACCUUGUCCUAGAGACACGGUUCUCAAAACGUCUCACCAAGGUAAGCCUACUCCAAACACAGCCCAUAUUAAGUGUCCCCUAUAGGAAAAAUGAAUGGUGGAAAAACGAUUGGAAACAUUUCCUUGUUUGACCACUAGGUUUUAUGGCUAUUAUGUCUCGUACUGUGGUACUCUAUAGGCGGUGUUUACACAGUCAGCCCAAUUCUGAUCUUUUGCCAAUUGGGAUUUUGGACCUAUCAGAUCUUUUGCCAAUAUUUGGGAAACCGAUCAGAAUUGGUCUUUCUGUGUUAACACAGCCUAUACCUCUGUAUUUAAAGGAUUAAUCUGCACAAUGACUAGUCAAAUUGAUCAUCCACGUUAUGAAUAAAUGGCACAAGGACAGUGAGA